UACGUAGGGGCCUAGCGUUGUCCGGAAUUAUUGGGCGUAAAGAGCUCGUAGGCGGUUCGGCAAGUCGGAUGUGAAAUCUCCACGCUUAACGUGGAGGGCCAUUCGAAACUGCUGUGACUCGAGUCCGGUAGGGGAGUGUGGAAUUCCCGGUGUAGCGGUGAAAUGCGCAGAUAUCGGGAGGAACACCAGUAGCGAAGGCGGCACUCUGGGCCGGUACUGACGCUGAGG
rnacentral:rRNA from 1 species